GUGAGCUUUCACGAUUUGGGAAGUGGGGUUAGACCUUCCCCAGGCGAGGUGGGGGCUGCAGUCCAGGCCUUGCAGUUUUCCAGGACUGACAGCUUUCAGCACUGGGCCACAGCGGGUUUCCAAGGAGCUUCCCAGGAGGCCAAGGGGAAUCCGUCUUGGAAACGUUACCCCUGACCCCUCAGGCAUGACAGGCACCCAGCAGAGUAGCAGGAACACAUGAUUUCCAGGAAGGGUUAAGGGCCCACUUGAAGUUGCUGACCACAGCAUAAUUUUAUGAUUCUCUCUCACCUCAUUUGACCAUGAUGGCCCUGUCACGAGGUGGCCAGAACAGUACUGAACCAAGGCUGGCAUUUAACCAGUGUGGUUCCGCAAACAAGAGAGAGCAAGAGCACUGGGGUGUGUGUAGGGGAGUGGCAGCAAUCACUUGCCAGUGGAGGAAGGAGGGAAGUGAGAACAGAGGAAACAAGGAACAGUGUGCAAAAGCGGCCUCAGAGAAUUGUCGGGGUGGGGGUUCUCGAGAGAACAGCAGCAAGACGUGGGGUCAGAAGGCACCGUAUCUGAAAUGAGAGCAGGGAGGAGCUGAGUUGCUGAUGAAGCCAGAGCCCCAGCGUGCCCGAGGUCUACGCAGGGCUGAAGCUGGAACUGAGAUGCCUGUGGAAUAUAGGACUGUGGCCCUGUCAGGAGUCGGUGUCGUGUGUCAGUGCAAUCCACCCUCACUGGUACCGGGUUAAUCUCCCUGAAGCCUUACUGACAGAAACUUCAGUAGUUCCCAACCGCUCACAGGAUGAAGUUUAAAGUCCUAGCAAGCCAGUCCCUUGCACAGGGCCCCCAAAGACCUCUCCGAGCUUGGCUCUCAAUGCUCCCUCAUGAGACUCCUCCUCUCAAACGUUACUAGCACUUUCCUGUUUUUAUCUUGGCAUUUCUUUUCUUCCAUAAACACUGGCAAAUAAAAUCCAGCCACAUGAACAUAACCUAUUUGAACUGAAAGAGAACUCAGACAUCAGCGGGUAAGGUCCAGUCUCCUUCCUGCUUCUCAUUACUGAGAUGAGGAAAUGGAGGUCUGUAGAGAG
rnacentral:lncRNA from 1 species